GAUGAACGCUGGCGGCGUGCCUAAUACAUGCAAGUCGAGCGAACAGACGAGGAGCUUGCUCCUCUGACGUUAGCGGCGGACGGGUGAGUAACACGUGGAUAACCUACCUAUAAGACUGGGAUAACUUCGGGAAACCGGAGCUAAUACCGGAUAAUAUAUUGAACCGCAUGGUUCAAUAGUGAAAGACGGUUUUGCUGUCACUUAUAGAUGGAUCCGCGCCGCAUUAGCUAGUUGGUAAGGUAACGGCUUACCAAGGCAACGAUGCGUAGCCGACCUGAGAGGGUGAUCGGCCCCACUGGAACUGGGACACGGUCCAGACUCCUACGGGAGGCAGCAGUAGGGAAUCUUCCGCCAUGGGCGAAAGCCUGACGGAGCCACGCCGCGUGAGUGAUGAAGGUCUUCGGAUCGUAAAACUCUGUUAUUAGGGAAGAACAAAUGUGUAAGUAACUAUGCACGUCUUGACGGUACCUAAUCAGAAAGCCACGGCUAACUACGUG
rnacentral:rRNA from 1 species